AAUUAAACUUUAGUGGCGAACGGGUGAGUAACGCGUAAGCAAUCUGCCCCUAAGACGAGGAUAACAGUUGGAAACGACUGCUAAGACUGGAUAGGAGACAAGAAGGCAUCUUCUUGUUUUUAAAAGACCUAGCAAUAGGUAUGCUUAGGGAGGAGCUUGCGUCACAUUAGUUAGUUGGUGGGGUAAAGGCCUACCAAGACUAUGAUGUGUAGCCGGGCUGAGAGGUUGAACGGCCACAUUGGGACUGAGACACGGCCCAAACUCCUACGGGAGGCAGCAGUAGGGAAUUUUCGGCAAUGGAGGAAACUCUGACCGAGCAACGCCGCGUGAACGAUGAAGUAUUUCGGUACGUAAAGUUCUUUUAUUAGGGAAGAAUAAAUGAUGGAAAAAUCAUUCUGACGGUACCUAAUGAAUAAGCCCCGGCUAACUAUGUGCCAGCAGCCGCGGUAAUACAUAGGGGGCAAGCGUUAUCCGGAAUUAUUGGGCGUAAAGGGUGCGUAGGCGGUUAAAUAAGUUUAUGGUCUAAGUGCAAUGCUCAACAUUGUGAUGCUAUAAAAACUGUUUAGCUAGAGUAAGAUAGAGGCAAGUGGAAUUCCAUGUGUAGUGGUAAAAUGCGUAAAUAUAUGGAGGAACACCAGUAGCGAAGGCGGCUUGCUGGGUCUUUACUGACGCUGAGGCACGAAAGCGUGGGGAGCAAACAGGAUUAGAUACCCUGGUAGUCCACGCCGUAAACGAUGAGUACUAAACGUUGGGUAAAACCAGUGUUGAAGUUAACACAUUAAGUACUCCGCCUGAGUAGUACGUACGCAAGUAUGAAACUUAAAGGAAUUGACGGGACUCCGCACAAGCGGUGGAUCAUGUUGUUUAAUUCGAAGGUACCCGAAAAACCUCACCAGGUCUUGACAUGCUUCUGCAAAGCUGUAGAAACACAGUGGAGGUUAUCAGUUGCACAGGUGGUGCAUGGUUGUCGUCAGCUCGUGUCGUGAGAUGUUGGGUUAAGUCCCGCAACGAGCGCAACCCUUAUUGUUAGUUACCAGCACGUAAUGGUGGGGACUUUAGCAAGACUGCCAGUGAUAAAUUGGAGGAAGGUGGGGAUGACGUCAAAUCAUCAUGCCCCUUAUGACCUGGGCUACAAACGUGAUACAAUGGCUGUUACAAAGGGUAGCUGAAGCGCAAGUUUUUGGCGAAUCUCAAAAAAACAGUCUCAGUUCGGAUUGAAGUCUGCAACUCGACUUCAUGAAGUUGGAAUCGCUAGUAAUCGCGAAUCAGCAUGUCGCGGUGAAUACGUUCUCGGGGUUUGUACACACCGCCCGUCAAACCACGAAAGUUGGCAAUACCCAAAGCCGGUGGCCUAAC
rnacentral:rRNA from 1 species